UACGAAGGGGGCUAGCGUUGCUCGGAAUUACUGGGCGUAAAGGGCGCGUAGGCGGAUAUUUAAGUUGGGGGUGAAAGCCCGGGGCUCAACCUCGGAAUUGCCUUCAAUACUGGAUAUCUUGAGUUCGGGAGAGGUGAGUGGAAUGCCGAGUGUAGAGGUGAAAUUCGUAGAUAUUCGGAAGAACACCAGUGGCGAAGGCGGCUCACUGGAACCGUUGUUGACGCUGAGGUGCGAAAGCGUGGGGAGCAAACAGG
rnacentral:rRNA from 1 species